rnacentral:rRNA from 1 species
CAGUCGCCGCGGGAAUACGAGGGGGGCAAGCGUCGUUCGGAAUUAUUGGGCGCAAAGGGUGCGUAGGCGGUUUGACAAGUCUUGUGUGAAAUCUAUGGGCUCAACCCAUAGUCUGCACAGGAAACUGUCGGGCUUGAGUAUUGGAGAGGUGAGUGGAAUUUCCGGUGUAGCGGUGAAAUGCGUAGAUAUCGGAAGGAACACCUGUGGCGAAAGCGGCUCACUGGACAAUAACUGACGCUGAUGCACGAAAGCUAGGGGAGCAAACAGGAUUAGAUACCCCCGUAGUCCCUGUCUCUUAUAC